rnacentral:lncRNA from 1 species
CCUUGGUCAAGGUACUGUGCUGAAGGCUGUAACAGAGUCUACUAAAUUAAACACACCCGUUCUUCCCUCUAGUCUGAGGCGCACCCACCAUGUGUUGCUGUGUAGUUGCUUCUAGAUGACACGUGUGCAGAAAUGCAUCUUGACAAAGGCUGCACAUAGUGUGUGCUCCAGAGGUCAGCAAUCAUCCUAACUGCUGACCAUGGAGAGAAGAACCACUGAGGGCCACGGAGUGGGAGGUGGGCUUUAGUUGAUCAAAGAAUAAGUUACAUCCUUCCUUCUGUCUUGGUGUCCCAUGGUGCUGGGAGAGAGAAGGGGGGGAUACUAGGCUGUGGAUCAGUUGACAAAGUGCUUGCAUAAAGUCUGGGUUUGAUCCCUGGUGCUGCCAGGCCAGAUGUGGUAGUGCAUACCCGUAAUCCCAGCACUUGGGGGGCAGGAGGCUCAGAAAUUCAAUGUCAUCCCUGUCUCCACAGCAGGUUUCCUGAGAUCCUAUUUUAAGAGAGGAUGGCGACGGAUUCUCAAAGAAUUGAUAAAAAUCAAUUGGGGGAGGGGAAGGGCCAGGAGAGAGGAGGUGAGGGGCAAGAAUGGGGUAGGGCACUGUAUCAAGGAGGAAUGAACUUACUUGUUUUCCUGUCCACAGUUCCUUCUACAGCUGGAAUGCAAGAUCCUGAGUGGAGUCCAGGUGGUGGGUCUGGGAGCCUCCAGAGAGUCAUGGCCAGUCAGGAUGGCUGCCGUCCCCGUGCUUCUGGAGAGGGGCUUAGCCAAGAGGAAGCCACCCCAAAGGCUGAUCUCCUGACAGUUGAGCCGGUCCCCUGACAUGUGGCAUGCUGCAGAGCCUCGGAGGAAAGAGACAGCAACACUGACGAAUGAGCCCAGUCUUCUGCAGGCGUUUUCUCAUCUGGGGGUCCCUCCUCUCAGAUGACUCUAGCUUGUGUGAAGUUGACACAAAUCUAGCCAGCGGACUGCAUGAAACUCGGAGACUGGUCUUGGUGAGGAAACCAAAGGAGCUGACUCAGAAAGUCAACGGGAACCAAGAUACCCUGCGCAGCAGAGAAUUCAAAGUAUAUCAGGCUCAUGCUGGAAGAAGGCUCGGCAGUUAAGAGCAUAUACUGAGUCCAGAGGACCUGAGUCCACUUGCCAGCAAUCACACCAGGUGUCUAUAACUCUAGGUCCAGGCCAGAGCUCUGCAGCACCUACAACCAUGUGCGCACACACUUACAUAUAACUAAGACUAAUAAAAAUGAACGUUUUUAAAAAAUGUCAUGCGUCAGAACCAUCAGUUCAGAACCUGUGUGCUUUAUUUAGAGUUUUUCCGGUCAGCUCGGCAUGAGCUGGAGUCAUCUGAGAAGAGGGAACUUCAGUUGAGAAACCACCUCCAUCAGAUGGGCCUGCUGGCA